GUGGAAUUCAGAAUUAUGAACCAAAAUGAGCAUGCUUGGCCACUGCACAUUUCUCAGCUCGGAGUUAGGGAAUUCAACAAUCACCCAAUUCGGGCAAUGUUCAGUUCGGACCAAAACAAGUCUAACUCUAUUGUCAACAUACCUGUAUUUUUACAGCAAUUCUUUGUACUGCAGUUUCACUCAUGUGUCUAUAUGUAUAAAAUUAAUGGAGACUCCUAAACAAUGUAUCCUGCUAUGUAAGCCCCUACUUGUUGUGGGUUUUGGUUGUCAUAAACACUCAAACUGAAAAUAAUGUGAACACCGGGAUUUGCUGAAUAGUUACAUAAACUCCAAUGGUAUCUCAUAAAUGUGAUUAGUAUUUGAUGCAUCACCAAUAUAUAUCUGUCGGCGCCACCGAGGAGGUAUUCCCUGCUUGGGGAAGUGUUCAAGGAAGACUGCAGGAUGAAUGGAGGACUGACUGGAGGUAGGUGUUACAUGAAGAGUAAUACCCAUGAAGAUUAAGAAAUAGCAGCACU